UUCAUUCUCUUCAAUAGUAUUAUAUUAUGGUUGAAAAGUGUUGAUAACACACACAUCACACAGUAGUAACUGGCUCUCACAUACAAUACAUAUUCUCUGCGUGGGCCAAUAAACUCAAAACGACUUAAGAGGAGAGAGUGGCAGUGGUCUGGGCUGGCAACUACCCAACCGGAAAGCGACUAGAGCACCCAAGUCUGACACGUGUCUUAACGAGGUUUCAUGGACCACAACAUAGUACUGCACAUAACAUAAUUUACUAGUGUGGGCCAAACAUAAUUGAAUCAUGUUCGUACAUUUGUAAAAAGCUGAGAAAGUUGUCACUGCUUGAAACACCACUGUCAACUAGACUGUGCUGCUGAUCUAACGUUUUAGAUUAGGGUAAGAGAUGCCGCCGGCAGUGGUACUGUUUGGCUUCGCUAGACAAACAAACAUGUAUAGCCUUUAAUCUACUUUGUUUUACUACUUUUUCCUGUUCAUUCUUUUUAAAUAUUUUUCUGUUUAUUUCUUUAAUUUUUAAAAUUUGAUUUUUUUUGUUCCAAAGUGAUAUGGUUUAGGGUUUCGACAUGAUUCAGACAAGAGAUCAUUCAUUUUGUUCAAACAAACAAUGGAUUGUUUUUGACAUGAACCUCCUUCUUCGACCUUGAGGCAAUGAGUGCAGGGGCGGAUGCUUUGAUAAGGGAGGGAUUUUUUUAGUGAGUAGGUAUAUAUUUAUAUUUGGCUACUUCUAAUAAUAUAUAUUUAACUAUCCCAAAUUUUAUUUUAAAUGAUUUUUUUUUUUCCAUCCUUAUUUAGUUCAUGUCGAACUUCGAAUUAUUUGAUCCCGUCAUAUAGGAACUUCGAAUUACAUUAAUUAUGUUUGUAGGUUAGCAGAGACGUUCUAUUCUUAUGAUUUUACUGAGCAAGAAAGAGCUCAUUUGAGGUUGCAAGUAAGUCAUUACAUUGCUAAUAUAUCUCAGUCUUUUCAAAAUUUAACAACACUCUUUGGUGCAAAAAAUUAGUAUAAUCGGGGAAAUCAAAGCAUUAUCAUUUAAUUGAUAUAUUGAUUCGUCUUGUUUUGACACUCCUAAUCUCCACAACAAGAGAGAGAGCUUUCUCAUCAAUGAAGAAUCUUGAGACAAAAUAAAGAAACAAAAUGAGUGAUGAUUUUCUUGCAAGUAGCUUGGUUAUUUACAUUGAAAAGGACAUUGCAAGUCGGUUUACCUGAGAUGCAAUUAUGGAUGAAUUUGAGUCUUUGAAGGGUGGUCGAGUUCAAUUUUUAUAAAUAGCUACUAUAUUAGUUUUUAUUUCUUUUGUGGUAGUUUUUUUGUACAAUCUGUUAUUCUACUGUGGUUUUUUUGCUAGAAUCUGUUAUUGUCUUAUUUUUGGUUUAAUCCGUUUUUGUUGAAUCAAGUGUAUAUUUUAUGAAGAACAUUUUAUAUAAGUAAUAAUUAUUGUGAGUUUUUUU
rnacentral:lncRNA from 1 species